UACGAAGGGUGCAAGCGUUAAUCGGAAUUACUGGGCGUAAAGGGUGCGUAGGCGGUUAUUUAAGUCUGCCGUGAAAUCCCCGGGCUCAACCUGGGAAUGGCGGUGGAUACUGGAUAGCUAGAGUGUGUCAGAGGAUGGUGGAAUUCCCGGUGUAGCUGGUGAAAUGCGUAGAUAUCGGGAGGAAUACCAGUGGCGAAGGCG
rnacentral:rRNA from 1 species